UACGUAGGGGGCAAGCGUUGUCCGGAAUUAUUGGGCGUAAAGAGCGCGUAGGCGGUCCGAUAAGUCGGCUGUGAAAGUCCAGGGCUCAACCCUGGAAAGCCGGCCGAUACUGUCGGACUAGAGUCCGGAAGAGGCAAGUGGAAUUCCCGGUGUAGCGGUGAAAUGCGUAGAUAUCUGGAGGAAUACCGGUGGCGAAGGCGGGUCUCUGGACAGUUCCUGACGCUGAGGCACGAAGGUCAGGGGAGCAAACGGG
rnacentral:rRNA from 1 species